GCAGUAGCCUGUGGCGCCGUCAUCCCAUAUGGACUGGUUCUAGUCCCAGCUGUUCUAUUUCCAAUCCAGAACAUCUGGGAAGGCAGUGAAGGAUGGCUCAAAGUGCUUGGCCCAUGCAUCCAUGGGGAGACCCAGAUGAAGCUCCUGGCCCCUGGCUUCGGCCUCACCCAGCUCCAGCCAUUGGACACCAUUUGGAGAAUGGAUGUACAGAUGGGAAAAUCUUUCUCUGUCCCUCUCUUUUUGUAACUCUGCCUUUCAGAUAAAUAAAACAGUAAAACACCUAAUGACCCUAUGGCCCUGCCAUUCCACUGCUGGGGCUCUCCACAGGAGAAUGGAAUAUUUGUAUACCAGGGCUUGCUGCAUCACCACAGAAACUUAACAGAUGAAUGCGUGAGCAAAAUGCGGUCGGCCCUUGCGGGUGUGGUGCGUCACCUGCGCACUUGGCCUGAGGGAACUGUCCCAUGACCUGAUUCCGAGCUUGCUGCUGCACAAGGCUGGCUCCCGAGCUGAGGAUGUGGGGGAGGCACCUGACCCUUCAGCGUGAUGGGGGAGACAGGAUUACUCCCCUGUCCUGGGAGAUGCUCGGACCUGGACUUCCCAGUACCGUAGCCACCAAGCACUGGCCACGGCUGAGCUCCUGCCACGGGAUAGGCCACCUAGAGCUGAAUCUAAGCAAAGCAUACCUAGUAGGGAAGGCUUAACACAACAAUAAAACCUACAUGUCCCCUGGGAGCCGUGGGGAGUUCUUUCAUAGAGAUUAAUUUGUUUAUUUCGAAAGGCAGAUUAACAGAGAGAAGGAGACACAGGGAGAAGAUCUUUCAGGAUUUCCUUCCAGGUUUCCCACGCGGGUGCAGUGGUCCAAGGCCCCAAACCACUCUCUGCUGCCCAGGUCACAAGUAGGGAGCUGGAUGGGAAGUGGAGCAGCCAAAAUUAGAACCAGUGCCUAUAUGGGAUGCUGGCACCACAGGCGGAGGAUUAGCCUGUUGAGCCACUUGUGGCGGUCCCUGGAGGAUUGCUUCUCAGGUACCCCCACCCAGAAGCCCCUCACCCCUGGAAGGACAGCAGAAUCUAUGCAUGAUCAAAUCCCCUCUAAAAAACAAGGACUAUUCACAUAUAUCCGUGAGCCCCUUCCUUUAUACUUCAUUUGGAAUUUUUUUAAAAAAGAUUUUAUUUAUUUAUCUGAAAGGCAGAGUGACAUAGAGCAAGGGAA